rnacentral:lncRNA from 1 species
GCCAGUGUGAGGGACGGGAAACAGCUGCUUCAGGACGGCAAGUUCCCCGCCACUCCCUCCUCCCUUGGGGAGUGGGGGUGGGGGGGAUGUCAGGGACCCAGGCUGGACAGAGGUGGCGAGUGGGCCCAUAUACCCAGCCGUGGAGCAAAAUGAGUCAGUAUGCAGAAUCUGACCAGAUGAGUUUUUAA